UACAGAGGGGGCAAGCGUUGUUCGGAAUUACUGGGCGUAAAGGGCGCGUAGGCGGCCUUCUAAGUCGAACGUGAAAUCCCCGGGCUCAACCCGGGAACUGCGUCCGAUACUGGAAGGCUUGAAUCCGGGAGAGGGAUGCGGAAUUCCAGGUGUAGCGGUGAAAUGCGUAGAUAUCUGGAGGAACACCGGUGGCGAAGGCGCAUCCUGGACCGGCAUUGACGCUGAGGCGCGAAAGCCAGGGGAGCAAAGCGGGG
rnacentral:rRNA from 1 species